UGACCUCAAAUCAGGUAAGAAUACCCGCUG
rnacentral:rRNA from 2 species